GGUAGAAAUGGAUGUUGAGGGGACGGAUGUCUUCUUGGGAGACAUGGCAACAUCACACGGGCUCAGCAGUGAUGUGGAGGAGGAUUAUUAUCCAAACGCAUGUUAUGACGAUAUAAUGAUGACUGAAAGCAUCUCUCCAGCCUGUUCACCACCCUUUACUCACAAGUCUGAGGCAUCGAAUGUGAGAGCAAUGUGACUGAUUAUAUAGAAAUCCAUUUAUCUGUGAGGAAAAGCUAGUGAUGUUCUCAUUUACUGAGCAGACUGAGUACUUUCUCUUCACUUCUCUUUUGUUGCAGGGUGCAGUUUGCUUGAAAAGGAGGAGUGAAAGGCAGAAGGUCAGAGAGGAGGUGGACAGUGAGGAAGUU
ensembl:lncRNA